GUCUUUCUACUCACUUGCUGCGCUUAUUGAGUCACUAUAGACUACUGCACCCUUUAACUCUAAGGAAGAGAUAAUCUAUGAGCUUGACUUUUGCAUCUGUAAAAUGGGCUGCUUAUCUCAAAGCAUCAUGAGGAUCAAACAAGAGCAUCCACAGAGCUUCUAGACACUGACACUCUAUGCAAAUUAGGAGAGGAACAGCAUUGUCACGUGUUGCUUUAAUUAAGAAAAAUUCCAUGAGGACAUUGAAGAGAGGCUGAAAUGCAUGAAGAAGGAGCAAACCACAUCUAAAAUAAAUUAAAGACAGGAGCCAUGUUCAAUCCAUGUGUUUAAAGCAGAUGGAAUAUGGAACAGCUGGGCAAGUUCAAAGAAGCGGUCAUGAAAAUUGAGGGGCUGGGUGGUGGCACACCUGACUGAGCACACAAGUUACAAUGCACAAGGACCCAGGUUCAAGCCUCCAAUCCCCACCUGCAGGGGGAAAGCUUUAAGAGUGGUGAAGCAGUGUUGCAGGUGUCUCUGUCUCUCUCCCUCCCCUUACCCUUUCGAUUUCUGGCUGUCUCUAUCCAAUACAUAAAUGAAUAAAGAUCAAUAAAAAAUUAAAAUAAAAUAAUAAAAGCAGUCAAACCUAGAGAAAAAAG